rnacentral:rRNA from 2 species
UAUCAUGCAGUCGAGCGGAAGAUGGGAGCUUGCUCCCUGAUGUUAGCGGCGGACGGGUGAGUAACACGUGGGUAACCUGCCUGUAAAACUGGGAUAACUCCGGGAAACCGGGGCUAAUACCGGAUGCUUGUUUGAACCGCAGGGUUCAAAUAUAAAAGGUGGCUUCGGCUACCACUUACAGAUGGACCCGCGGCGCAUUAGCUAGUUGGUGAGGUAACGGCUCACCAAGGCAACGAUGCGUAGCCAACCUGAGAGGGUGAUCGGCCACACUGGGACUGAAACACGGCCCAAACUCCUACGGGAGGCAGCAGUAGGGAAUCUUCCGCAAUGGACAAAAGUCUGACGGAGCAACGCCGCGGGAGUGAUGAAGGUUUUCGGAUCGUAAAGCUCUGUUGUUAGGGAAGAACAAGUACCGUUCGAAUAGGGCGGUACCUUGACGGUACCUAACCAGAAAGCCACGGCUAACUACGUGCCAGCAGCCGCGGUAAUACGUAGGUGGCAAGCGUUGUCCGGAAUUAUGGGGCGUAAAGGGCUCGCAGGCGGUUUCUUAAGUCUGAUGUGAAAGCCCCCGGCUCAACCGGGGAGGGUCAUUGGAAACUGGGGAACUUGAGUGCAGAAGAGGAGAGUGAAAUUCCCACGUGUAGCGGUGAAAUGCGUAGAGAUGUGGAGGAACACCAGGUGGCGAAGGCGACUCUCUGGUCUGUAACUGACGCUGAGGAGCGAAAGCGUGGGGAGCGAACAGGAUUAGAUACCCUGGUAGUCCACGCCGUAAACGAUGAGUGCUAAGUGUUAAGGGGUUUCCGCCCCUUAGUGCUGCAGCUAACGCAUUAAGCACUCGCCUGGGGAGUACGGUCGCAGGACUGAAACUCAA